GUAGGUGAACCUGCGGAAGGAUCAUUAUCGUGGGGCUCCGGCCCCGUCGGGAUAACACCCUUGCCUUUAUGAGUACCGCCCGUUUCCUCGGCAGGCCCGCCUGCCAGUGGGGACAACAACAACACCCUGAAGCACCUGUAACAGUCUGAUAAAACAAACAAAAAUCAAAACUUUCAACAACGGAUCUCUUGGUUCUG
rnacentral:misc_RNA from 1 species